rnacentral:rRNA from 1 species
AUAGGGGAGCCGGAGGGAAACCGAGUCUUAAUUGGGCGUUAAGUUGCAGGGUAUAGACCCGAAACCCGGUGAUCUAGCCAUGGGCAGGUUGAAGGUUGGGUAACACUAACUGGAGGACCGAACCGACUAAUGUUGAAAAAUUAGCGGAUGACCUGUGGCUGGGGGUGAAAGGCCAAUCAAACCGGGAGAUAGCUGGUUCUCCCCGAAAGCUAUUUAGGUAGCGCCUCGUGAAUUCAUCUCCGGGGGUAGAGCACUGUUUCGGCUAGGGGGCCAUCCCGGCUUACCAACCCGAUGCAAACUGCGAAUACCGGAGAAUGUUAUCACGGGAGACACACGGCGGGUGCUAACGUCCGUCGUGAAGAGGGAAACAACCCAGACCGCCAGCUAAGGUCCCAAAGUCAUGGUUAAGUGGGAAACGAUGUGGGAAGGCCCAGACAGCCAGGAUGUUGGCUUAGAAGCAGCCAUCAUUUAAAGAAAGCGUAAUAGCUCACUGGUCGAGUCGGCCUGCGCGGAAGAUGUAACGGGGCUAAACCAUGCACCGAAGCUGCGGCAGCGANUGCUGGAGGUAUCAGAAGUGCGAAUGCUGACAUAAGUAACGAUAAAGCGGGUGAAAAGCCCGCUCGCCGGAAGACCAAGGGUUCCUGUCCAACGUUAAUCGGGGCAGGGUGAGUCGACCCCUAAGGCGAGGCCGAAAGGCGUAGUCGAUGGGAAACGGGUUAAUAUUCCCGUACUUGGUGUUACUGCGAAGGGGGGACGGAGAAGGCUAUGUUGGCCGGGCGACGGUUGUCCCGGUUUAAGCGUGUAGGUGUGUGUUCCAGGUAAAUCCGGUUCACUUUAACACUGAGGCGUGACGACGAGGCACUACGGUGCUGAAGCAACAAAUGCCCUGCUUCCAGGAAAAGCCUCUAAGCAUCAGGUAACACGAAAUCGUACCCCAAACCGACACAGGUGGUCAGGUAGAGAAUACCAAGGCGCUUGAGAGAACUCGGGUGAAGGAACUAGGCAAAAUGGUGCCGUAACUUCGGGAGAAGGCACGCUGACACGUAGGUGAAGUGAUUUACUCAUGGAGCUGAAGUCAGUCGAAGAUACCAGCUGGCUGCAACUGUUUAUUAAAAACACAGCACUGUGCAAACACGAAAGUGGACGUAUACGGUGUGACGCCUGCCCGGUGCCGGAAGGUUAAUUGAUGGGGUCAGCGUAAGCGAAGCUCCUGAUCGAAGCCCCGGUAAACGGCGGCCGUAACUAUAACGGUCCUAAGGUAGCGAAAUUCCUUGUCGGGUAAGUUCCGACCUGCACGAAUGGCGUAAUGAUGGCCAGGCUGUCUCCACCCGAGACUCAGUGAAAUUGAACUCGCUGUGAAGAUGCAGUGUACCCGCGGCAAGACGGAAAGACCCCGUGAACCUUUACUAUAGCUUGACACUGAACAUUGAGCCUUGAUGUGUAGGAUAGGUGGGAGGCUUUGAAGUGUGGACGCCAGUCUGCAUGGAGCCGACCUUGAAAUACCACCCUUUAAUGUUUGAUGUUCUAACGUGGACCCGUAAUCCGGGUUGCGGACAGUGUCUGGUGGGUAGUUUGACUGGGGCGGUCUCCUCCUAAAGAGUAACGGAGGAGCACGAAGGUUGGCUAAUCCUGGUCGGACAUCAGGAGGUUAGUGCAAUGGCAUAAGCCAGCUUGACUGCGAGCGUGACGGCGCGAGCAGGUGCGAAAGCAGGUCAUAGUGAUCCGGUGGUUCUGAAUGGAAGGGCCAUCGCUCAACGGAUAAAAGGUACUCCGGGGAUAACAGGCUGAUACCGCCCAAGAGUUCAUAUCGACGGCGGUGUUUGGCACCUCGAUGUCGGCUCAUCACAUCCUGGGGCUGAAGUAGGUCCCAAGGGUAUGGCUGUUCGCCAUUUAAAGUGGUACGCGAGCUGGGUUUAGAACGUCGUGAGACAGUUCGGUCCCUAUCUGCCGUGGGCGCUGGAGAACUGAGGGGGGCUGCUCCUAGUACGAGAGGACCGGAGUGGACGCAUCACUGGUGUUCGGGUUGUCAUGCCAAUGGCACUGCCCGGUAGCUAAAUGCGGAAGAGAUAAGUGCUGAAAGCAUCUAAGCACGAAACUUGCCCCGAGAUGAGUUCUCCCUGAGACUUAGAGUCUCCUGAAGGAACGUUGAAGACGACGACGUUGAUAGGCCGGGUGUGUAAGCGCAGCGAUGCGUUGAGCUAACCGGUACUAAUGAACCGUGAGGCUUAACCUUACAACGCCGAAG